AUAUCAAUACUGCGAGUCAGAAAAAGUUUGUUGAAAUAACCAAAAACCGGACAAAAUCAACCCUGUACGUCCAAAAUGGUAGGGGUUAUAUUCUUGCAUCCAACAGACCAAACAAAGGAAAAAUUUAUUUAAAAUGCCUCAACAGCUGUGCCGGUAAAGGAUUAUGUCCUGGGCGAGCAGUUUUGGUAAGAGGAGCCCUUUCCAUAGAAAUAAUAAAAGAGCAUGAUUGCCGUGCAAAUCCAAAUCUGGCAGAUAUCCUGCAGGCCAAGGAAGAUAUCUACGAAUCUGCAACAAAAAAUCCUUAUAGCCUUCCAAAAGCUAUCUAUAGGGAAGUGAAUAGGAGAUAUUCAACGGAAGUUAUGGGACAGAUCCCUUUUGUUGAAGUAGAACCUAAUAUUAGAAAGAGAAAAACAGAAAAUGUUCCCAGUUUGCCGAAGGAUGUACAAAGUCUUGAGUAGGAACUCAGGAAAACUCCCUAUGGGAAAACAUGAGGAAACAAACCGUUCUUCCGGGUGAAAGAAAGAGUCAAAGUUUAAAGGAGUUCAUUGCAAGUUUCGAUCCUGAGGAGACAUUGAGUGCCACAAGCCGUGAAAAUGGAACUGAAAAUGGAAAUGAAUCUGAGGAAAAUGAGGCAAAUUUUGAUCCUGAGGAGACAUUGAGUGCCACAAGCCUUGAAAAUGGAACUGAAAAUGGAAAUGAAUCUGAGGAAAAUGAGGAUAAGUCAUUGAAAGAAGAUAUGAUCAGAGCAACAUUACCGGAUUUGUGGACAGCAGUGCUUUGGCUCAGAGAGAACCAGCAGCUUCUGAAAGGAGAGAUCGAAGAGCCGUCAUGUCUAGGGAUGCCCAUGCAGGACCUUCAGGAGUUCAUAGAGACCGUAAAGUAUAAACUAGACAAUGACCUGGAGUGGACUGAGGAUGAAAGAGACUCGAUGGCCAUCAUUUGUGAGGAGCCAACUGAUCUCUCAACAUUAAUCAGGGAGCUGAAGACGAGGCAACAGCAUUUUGGAAUUAACCUUGUGAGCCUCUAUCACGUACUAAACCCUCCUGCCAAAGAAGUGGACUGUAGUGAGGAAUGUGGAAACAACGAAGGGGAUGAAAGGACUUCCGACUCUUUCUGAGGCUCUUUCCCAGCGAGUAUUCAAGAAGAUGAUAUCUUCUUGUUCUAGUAUCUUGUCGAUUUUGCUGUUGUUUCGAAUUCUCCAUUCUCAUUUCCUUUGAUGACGCCAAAAAUUCUUCUUAUGAUUUUUCUCUCAAAUCUUCGCAGCAUGCUCCUAUCAUUCUCUGUCAUAGUCAACGUUUCUCCGCCAUAUGUAACGAUUGGUCUAAUAAGGGUCUUAUAUAUUUGUAACAUGGUCUUCCGAGGUAUCAGUCUGCUUUUAAUUAGCUUCAAAUACACGUAGUAUGCUGCAUUACCUGCUUGUAUUGCUUCUUUGUCAUUUUGUAUCAUCCUUUCCUUUUCAUUUAGCAGCUCUUCGAAAUGUUCUGCCCAUCUCUCCAUCAUGUUCUUCUCUUCCCCCAGUAACUGACCAUCUUUACUUCUGCACCCGCUUAUUUUCAGUUGAAAUCCUUUUCUCAUUCUAUUUACUGCUGCAUAGAAUUUUCUACUCUCAUUUUGUUCGCUUAGUUGUUCUAUUUCUUCCAUUUGUUGGAUCAUUGCCUCUUUUUUCUUUUUUCUAAGAAUCUUAUUAGCUUCUUUUCUUGCUUAAUGAUAUCAUUCUUCAUUCCCACUUGUGUUUAUUUGGAGCAACUUUUUUCUUGCAGGGUUUUUUUGAUCUAUGAUGUUCAUGCAUUCUUCAUCGAACCAUUCUUCAUUUCUGGUUUUUCGUCUUUCCCCGAUCGUUUCUUUUGCUGCUUCUAAAAUUGCUUUCUCAGUUACUGUCCAAAUUUCUUCAGGCGUUUGAUUCCUUCCUUCCAUUCCAUCUGUUUCUCGCGUUAGCUUGCUAUUCAAGGCAUCCUCAUACUUCUUUUGUAAUUCUUUAUUCUUGUUUUAGUUUUCUGUGGCCGAACGCUUCGCUUCUUGUUUGGGCCCUUUCAUUACAUUGGCGAUUCUUUCUCUAACUUUAAUUUUUACAAGGAAAUGGUCUGAGUCGCAGUUAGGUCCUAUGCAGCUGUUUACAUCAAUUACUGAUGACAUAUGUCUUGAGGAUACUAGUGCAGGAUUGAUUUGAUUCACUUCUUCACUUUCUGGGAUCUUCCAGGUUCCAAGAUGGAUUCUUUUGUGAUCAAAAAUUGUAUUUCCUGCUGCAAAUUGUACCAUUAUGUUUCCAUUUUCAUUAUUCUUCUCAUGCAGCGUGUGAAUACCAGCUACUUGUUUUUGAUAUUCGUCUUUUCCAACUUCUGCAUUGAAGUCUCCCAUGACUAUCAGCAUGUCGUGCCGGCUUAUUUUUGUACACACUUUCUCAAGUGCAUCGCAGAAACUUUCUUUUUCUGUUUCUUCUUUCUCUUCUGUUGGUGCGUGCACUGACACGAUGAUGAUAUUCCUAAUGUUUCCUUUUAUUCUUAUUUUGUGGUUGAUAUUUUCAUAUUCCAGGAGAGUACUUAUUUCUUGCUGUUUUGGAUAGUAAGAAUCCUGUGUCAAAUUGCCCUGUGUUUUCACUUGUUCCACUGCAUAUUAUGCUGAAUUCUUUCUUGUCUAUUCUUACUUCUCCUUGCCAUCUGAUCUCUCGAAUAUGCUCUUGAAAUUUUGCUCCCACCUUUAGUGAUAAGUUUAUUAAUGCUGUGUUAACUCAUACUUAAACCAAAAUUGAGAGGCUUGGAGGACAAGGCGCAUAAGUGAAGUUUUUGAAAAAAUCGUUUUAUUAAUGAUCUCAAAUACAACUAGUCAUAAUGCAAUUUCUGUGAAAAAUUUGCUUCCAAAAUUCUAAUUUUUAAGCAUCAAAAAGUCAGUUUGAACUUUCUUUCUGCCAUAAGGAUAUAAAUAAUUUUGAAACUGAAAACACGUUUUCUCGUAAUAGGAAAAACUGCACUUAUUGCGCCUUGUUCUCUAAGCCCCUCAAUUAGCCUUAAAAAAUGUUGUACAAAUUUUCUUUCUGUGAUUCUAAAUAAUUAAGCAGUAUGCUCUUAGUAGAUACCAAUACUUAAAUAUACUAUUUAUUUAGUUUCCUGCGUUCUAUUAAAUUUAAAGGUAUUUCUUUUCAAACAUUAAUAUUCAUUCUAGGAAUUUUCGGUGUUGAUUUUCUCAAAUGAUAGCGUAUACCAACAACUCAUAUUGAAGUUAUUCUGAACUAUUAUGUUGUGUUUACCUUCAUGUUUUAUGCCUCUGCUUUUCAAUAAGGAACCCAGUAAGUACAAUAUUCUCACUCCUUGAUUUUUUCUAAGAAUACUGUGCUACUACAGUACCUAAGUUUAGUCUUAAGCGAAGUUUGUAAAACUUUCCACUCUGUGAUUUACAUAACAAAGACAUCAUGUCCUUGCAGCAGGUGCCAAACCAUAGCUAGCAGAUCAGAGCAUUAACGCAAAGGCUUCAUUUUCUUGUUAGAUAAUAUUUUUCAAUUUACCUAUUAGGUUACCAGAUUCCAAUUUUGUACAGUACAUCUAUAUGUUGCGUCAUUAAACAUGUGGCAUUAAAAGCGAUUAACUAUUUAAGUGCCUGAAUUAAACUUGAUAUGUACAGAACCUGACCAUAUUCAAGUAAACUUUUUAUUGUUCUUGUAAAAUAGUUCUUGUUAAGAGGUUUCUGUUUAUCUAAAGAUCUCAAUAAAAUUCAAAAAUUUGUUGUACUACUUUAGCUGUUUUUCUUUCAUGCCAUUGAUCCUGAAAAAUUAUGUGAUUAUUUCACAAUAUCAAUGGUGAAACUCAUGAACCCUGCCGUAAGCAAUGACCCUGCAUCUACAUUGCCGUUUCAAAAUUUUAGCUCUUAUUUCAAUUACUGGAGGAAAAUGAGCCAAUUUUAAUACCUAAAAUUUUGACAGAAUAUUUCCCAUAAAGAAAGGAAUACCUACUCAAAAUUUUUUUCAUGAAAUAUCAUUCAUUAGCUGUCUACUUUAUAACAGAUUUAUGACGGAAAAGUUGCAACUUUGUAGAUUGAGAUCCUUGGCUUUUUCUAGUCUCACCAUAGAUGUGUUAGUCAAUUAUUCAUUUAAUGGUUCGUACUUUUUUACUUUUCCCUACCCUAUUUCACAUUCGAUCUCAAAAAUUGCUCAUGAAUAUCCGCCAAUUAUUUACGAUAUUUUCGUACCGAUAUUUUGAAUUCAAUAGUAGAAUUUGACAUUUAUUAUUUGAAAUAUCAAUAUUCUUUAAAAUAUCUUUAACAUUACCCACCUUUAGACCCUCAAGAAAGAAGAGAUGGUGAUUAUUCGUCAGGGAUUUGCAGCCAAUAAGGUGACUAGGUUGACACAAGAGUCAUUGAUCAUUCUUGAUGUUUGGUACCUAGCAACUUUUUGUGAAGUUUACACUAGAUGAUUAUUAAAACUUAAGGAAAUUUAGUAGUGCAAGGUUAUCUGAACGAAUUCACAGUUUUAGAGGUAUUUAAGGGGGAAGCUAAACCCAUCAAUGUCAUAAGGCCACUGAAAUCAUCUUUCUAUCACCUUCCAUUCUUUCUCUAUGCCCUUGACCAGUUGAAAACCGGCAGAAAGCGGCUUUUCAGGGUACUAAAGUAUACAAAUAAGGCCCAACGAUGGAAAGGAAAAAAUUUAGGAGGCAGAGACCGAAUUUUUGCAGAGCUGCAGGUCUCUCCAACAACUCAGGUCCCUGGUAAUUUGGACAACGAUGGCAGAAAAUUUGAAACCUCAAAAACGAGACCAGUUUCCUCUAGAUAAGUACUUCCAUUGUCAGCUGCAACAUGAGUUACAAGAGUUAUUAACGACAUAAGAUGUUACGAAAAUUUUGCUUACCUCUGCUCAAAGAUAUACUGAUGAUAUUAGUUACCAAGGAUUUGCAGCAAUUGCCACUAAUUAGUGGCUAGUUGUAAAGGCUGCCAAUAAGGUUUCUAGAAACCAAGCAAACUUGCAGUUUGACUUGCUGUUAUUAUUUAUCCAAAUGCUGGGUUCUCAAGAAACUUUUAGUGGCUAAGCCUCCUUGUUGGAGACUCCUAAUACACCCGUUAUCACUUGAUUUCUCAACUGGAGUUAGUGGGGUCUUCAACUUAAAGUGUGAACAAACUAGCGUCAAGCCAAAUCAAGCUGCCAGGAGUACACACAUGGAUUGCAUUUUGCAAAAAGGAACCACUAGCAUUGCAAUGUUGCUAAGAUUGUGCAACUUCUUUUGUCUUGGAGGAAAACCCGAUUAUCCAUUAAUAUUUUCUAUUUUACUCACUAAAAACUGUAAAUUUAAGACAAAAAUUACCAUCUAAAUUUCAUAGUUUUUCACGAUUCCCGCAAUUUUAUUGCAAAGGAUGAAGUUGCACAAUCUGAGCAUCAUUGCAAUGCUAGUGGUUCCUUUUUGCAAAAUGCAAUCCACAUAUUGAGAGGAAUGAGACGUAACAAGAUGAUUCAUGCAGGAUGAACAAAUUGGCCGGACAAAAUUAGGAUAAACUGUUGAGAUCGAACAUCAGACCUUUUGGAAGAUUUAAAAUGAAAAUAAGAGUAAGCUGUUCAAAUGACGCAGAAAGAACCGAUAUGAAUGAAGUCAAGGACGGGGACGCAUGACACUUCUUGCGUAAAGCGCAUAAAAAGGGUAUCCCAGGAUAAGGGCACCAAAAUGCCCCUCCUUACGGAUUUUCAAUUUAAUGGUCUACACCCUUUCAGGAGGUCCUAUAAACAUGGUUUUGGGCAAUUUUUACCUUCCGACCCCGACCACCCGCCCUCCAACCCCGAAAACCCCAUAUUUCAGGGAAUUUUGAGGUAUUUUCAAGUUUUAUUUCAUAUCUCCCACAUUUUUCGAUGGAAAUUCACCAAAAUUUCACCAGAUGUACAUCAGGACAAUCAAUUUCUUGGGCAAAAAAAUCAAAUUUAUCGAACCACAUUUAGACCCCGAAAAAAAUUCGUGAAAAUCGUAAAUUUUCAAUUUUUUGCAGAUUUUAGCGGUUUUAAAAAAAUGAGAGCACAUACAUUUUGUUUUUUG
rnacentral:lncRNA from 1 species